UGAGCCCCAAGCGUUAUCCGGAAUUAUUGGGCGUAAAGGGUGCGUAGGCGGCUUGGUUAGUCGACUGGUUAAAGUCUGGGGCUCAACCCCAGUUCUGCCAGCGAAACGGCCAGGCUAGAGAUAGUCAGAGGUAUGUGGAACUCAUGGUGUAGGGGUGAAAUCCGUUGAUAUCAUGGGGAACACCAAAGGCGAAGGCAACAUACUGGGACUUUUCUGACGCUGAGGCACGAAACCCUGGGUAGCGAAGCGG
rnacentral:rRNA from 1 species